rnacentral:rRNA from 1 species
GAGCCAUUUUUACGCCUAAUAAGCGGAUUUUUAAGUCAACACUCUCUGUUAUUUACCUAACUGAAACAUCCCCCUUACCUAGUAAAGGAGACUAAACUUUCGUAGGUUMCUCCACUUAAAUCCGACCAAAGUACUGUAAAGGAAAUAUAUAAUUAAUUUCAAUCAAGUAGUCCUUCAACCGCGUACCUUUUGUAUCAUGGCUUAACUAGAUUUAUCUGCCCAAAUUCCGGUUUUCUCGAACCCUAAUGUGCGACCUUACUUACUUGUUUUAGCAAGCAAUUUAGAGCUAAUUGUGGCAAAAAUUUCUCUAUAAAGUAAGGAAGAAAUGAAAUUUUAUUCGCAUUAGGCGAUAGCUAGUUUCUCUUAAAAGACAUAGAAGUGUCAGAUUGUACUAAGUAGUUCUAAAUCCCACUUAAAACUAACUUUCACAAUACUUAGAUUUUCGAGGAUAAGCUCGAAAAUAAGCAAUAUAUCCGUCAUUAAUCUAAAUUUAAGCUUGAAAAUAGCUAAAAUUUAUAAAUUUGUUAUAAUUUAUAUCCAAAUUUAAGAAAUAAUACCUCUAUAUUUUUAACCAAGAGAAGUAGUCUAAAUUAAUAAAGAUUAAUUUACAUGUUAAGAUGAGUACUAAAUCCUACUAACUAUUUCUCCAAUAUUGCAUUACCUACUUUGUUUUUAGCUCACUUUUCAAAUAAAAUUUUUACAAAGGAACUCGGCAAAAUAUUUUCGCCCUGCCUGUUUAUCAAAAACAUGGCUCUUUGCAUCACCAUCUAUAAAGAGUCUGACCUGCCCGGUGAUACAUUCGUAUUCAACGGCCGCGGUACUCUGACCGUGCAAAGGUAGCAUAAUCAUUUGCCCUAUAAUUGAGGGCUAGUAUGAAAGGUUUGACAAGGGCGACCCUGUCUCUGUAAAAAUUCAUGGAACUUAUUUUUUAGAUGAAGAAAUCUAAAUGAAAUUAAUAGACAAGAAGACCCUAUCGAGCUUUAAAAUCAUUUAUGUGACCUAGGAACUAUUCUUCUAGACUUCCCUUCAUAAAAAAUUUUGGUUGGGGCGACUAAGGAACAACUAAAGCUUCUUUUAAAAUUUAACUUCGUGUAUAAAGAUCCACGCACUUCAUCGUGAUUAAAAGAAAUAGUUACCGUAGGGAUAACAGCAUAAUCUUUUUUGAGAGCCCUUAUCGAAAAAAAGGUUUGUGACCUCGAUGUUGGACUAGAAUAUCCUGAAAGGUGCAGCCGCCUUCAAGGGUUGGUCUGUUCGACCAUUAAAAUUCUACAUGAUCUGAGUUCAGACCGGCGUGAGCCAGGUCAGUUUCUAUCUUUAAUUUUUAAGUUAACUCUAGUACGAAAGGACUGAAUUAAAAUAAACUUUAUUCUGCAUGAACUUAUAUAAUUUUCUAAUUAAUUUCUUUAAAAUAAAGAUGGCAGAUUAGUGCAUUAGGUUUAAGCCCUAAACAU